CAGUCGAGGGGCAGCGGGGGCGAAGCUUGCUUCGCCUGCCGGCGACCGGCGCACGGGUGAGUAACACGUAUGCGACCUGCCCCCCGCAGGGGGAUAACCGGGAGAAAUCCCGACUAAUACCGCGUAACGCCGCUGGGCUGCAUGGCCCGGCGGCCAAAGGAAGCGAUUCCGGCGGGGGAUGGGCAUGCGGCGCAUUAUCUAGUCGGCGGGGUAACGGCCCACCGAGGCGACGAUGCGUAGGGGUUCUGAGAGGAAGGUCCCCCACACUGGUACUGAGACACGAACCACUAUUAUACGGGAGGCAGCAGUGAGGAAUAUUGGUCAAUGGGCGUAAGCCUGAACCAGCCAAGUCGCGUGAGGGAAGACGGUCCUACGGAUUGUAAACCUCUUUUGCCGGGGAGCAACGGGGUCCUUGCGAGGGCCCUAUGAGAGUACCCGGAGAAAAAGCAUCGGCUAACUCCGUGCCAGCAGCCGCGGUAAUACGGAGGAUGCGAGCGUUAUCCGGAUUUAUUGGGUUUAAAGGGUGCGUAGGCGGGCUGUUAAGUCAGCGGUCAAAUGUCGGGGCUCAACCCCGGCCUGCCGUUGAAACUGGCGGCCUCGAGUGGGCGAGAAGUAUGCGGAAUGCGUGGUGUAGCGGUGAAAUGCAUAGAUAUCACGCAGAACUCCGAUUGCGAAGGCAGCAUACCGGCGCCCUACUGACGCUGAGGCACGAAGGCGUGGGUAUCGAACAGGAUUAGAUACCCUGGUAGUCCACGCAGUAAACGAUGAAUGCUAGCUGUCCGGGACUUCGGUUCUGGGUGGCA
rnacentral:rRNA from 1 species